GGGAAAUGUCACCCGGCGGGCGCGGUGCUGAGGGACGGAGCGAGGGGACGGAGGGACAGGGAGCGCCGCCGGCUGUCAAGGCUUAGCUGAUUAAAACUGCCCUGAGUGAAGUUUUCAAUGAGCACCGAAAGGAAUGGCAGCCAACGGCUUGGAGGUUUUCUUUUCUUUUUUUUUUUUUUUCUUUUUUUUUUUCUUUUUGCCCACGAAAGCAGCAUUUUGUGGUAGAAAUAGCAAUGAGAGCACUGAAAAAAAUACAUAAAAAAUACAGCGUUGCCGAUACCACUCGUCUGUAUUUAGAUUACGUAUCGUUCUGCCCUAAAGCAACUCUAGUUGCUAUUUUUCACCCAUUUUUUUUUCCCAACUAUGAUGCAGAAAUAAGACCUAGCAGAUAGGAUGUCAGCCUCUUUGCCAGGAUGUGGUAUUCUCUUAUACGAAUCACACUGUUGUCCUCUCGAAUGGCAUUUCUGAGGUCUCAUUAAGGAUUUCUAAAGGCAGUGAAGUUUCUGCACCGCCGCUAUCCCAUCCGUGCUUGCAGACACACACAGGCCCAAUCCUGCGUGUGGUUCUGUGCUUCGUUAUGGCCCUGUUCAGACCGAAGCUGGAAGUCGUAUUACACAAUCACUGCUCUCAGUAUUACUUAGGGCUGCACGAAGCGUAAACCCAAUGCAAUAGUCUCGGUUUGCAUCACCCACUUCGUUUCGCUGGGGUUUAAGCUAAAUAAUGCACAAUUGCCAUAAUUUUAGGAUCAGGGUGGUUAAAUAUUUGACGGCGAGGAAGGGCAGCCGCUCUCGUCUAACAGCCCCUGCAAUAGGAGGUGGGUAUUGCACUCUCUGGCUGCAGCAUCUGGGAGAGGAUUGUCAGCUUGUUUCCUCAGUGACUGGCAAAGCCAAGGAGUCACAGCAGGAGCACAGCUGAGGACAGAAGGCAGGGGAGAGGGAUUUUGAGCCUCAACAAAAGCGAUGUCAGUUCUUUAGAUCAGAUUUCCGUUCCAGAUAACGUGGGCUCAUCAGAACGGUGGAAGUCCUAUCUGCUGUGGCAGCUAAGAGAGGGUAGAGCUGCAGUUUCUGUGCUGCACUCCUUUCCUCGCACCUUUCCUCGCUGAAGCACUACCUGCACGCCGCCAAUCCCCCCACUGUAGGCACUUCUCCUCACAGACUGUCAUUACGUUCUCAGAGAAUCUUCCACUGCUGUAACAUGUGACAUGGCCAGCAUUUGUCAUGUUAUCUGCUCUCCUGUUGCCAGGGGGAGGAGCAUGUGCAGUUGAAUGUUUUGAGUUUUAUCUGCCUUUUUUGUUUUUUUUUUUUUUUUCUUCAAUAUAUGUGUUGUUUACAGUAGUGAGGCAAGGUCAAAGUCAUGUAUUUUGUUCUCCAAGCACUACGUGGUUGGUUGGGCUCCUGAUGGCCCUUAGCUCCUGGGCGUAUUCAUCCCAUAGACUUGUUCCAGCCCCUGAGAAAAGUGUAUCUGUAGAAAUGUUAGCUUUUUUCCCCUACUUGUGUAAAUUCCCUUGUGUCAGGUGAGAGAAACUGCCGACACGAGGCUGUAGUUUGGAGACCCAGGCAUUUCUUUGGGAAACCUGGAUUUAGGCCCCGGGAGGAUCUGGAGACCCCAAAUCUGUCAUUUAAAGUUCUAUAGAAAAUCAGUAUUAAGUGGAAGAGAGGGACUUGUAUUCACCUACCCCACUGAGAUGACAUUCCCCCCGGCUUCCUAUACUUGGGAGUUCCCUAUAUGGAACAAGAAUCACACUUGGGUAUCCCAAACGGCCGGGGUCUGUCUGCAAGGUGGCACAACCAAAGCAAGGUACUGAUCUCCCAGAAUGGCCCAGGAGCUCCCAGCUCGUCAGGGAUGGUUAGAAAGCUGGAGGCUGUCUUUUGACUCAGGCACGCAUUACUUUGCAAAUUACCUUGCUAUGUGUUUUUAAGAUUUAUUUUACAACCGUGAGGAUUAGAGGAAUUUGUCGUAAUGAAAACUGGCAUUGUGUCACUACUGUGUAACUGUGUAGCUGGAUUCUUUGGUCUGCCUGGGUACUUGCAUAUUAUUCCACUCUCUACUGGUCCAGCUCCUAAGUGAGUUACACCAAAUGGAGGCCAACAAGGUAUACCCAACGUGGAGCAAUUAUAAUAACGUGCACAUCUACAUAUUAUUUGGGUUCCCUGUUUUGGUAUGGCAUAUGUGUGCAUGGCCAGUGGAAAUUCCAACUUUUUUUUUUUUUUGUAUUUAUUUUUCUAAUUUAAGCUCUGCCUUGCUUUUGGUGCUUAUCCAGCCUUCUUUGCUGGAUCCCCGUUAGAGAUUCACCAAGGCCUCUCCUCAGACCUCUUCUGAAAGUUUGCUAUCAGUUGAAGUUUCUGCUUAAUAAUCUACUCUAAUAAUCAAGUGUAUUCAACAUCUCCUUUCAUUUUUGACUUUUCUGCUUCUUUCUGUGGCCAUUAAGUCUCCAAUUUAUCCUGACAAACAUAGGAUUUGGAAUUCAUUACUUAGGCCAUUUCAGGUUGUCACGUAGCAAGGACUGAAAUGUGCGCCGCUUAUUACUGUACAGUCAUUAGACUGCAGUGGCAGUGAAAACUAAGUUCUGAAUUUGCCAGCUGAGAGCUGAUCUAGGGAUCCUUCUCUUGGCACCAAGGACUGCAGGAAGUAUUUGCUAGAUUAGGAUGUACACCUGCUUUAUUAAAUUCCCUACAAAAUACUAAGUGGAAAAAAAAACCCCAAACCACCCAUAAACAACCUUUAGCCUAUUUUUGGUGUAGACUACCUGGUUUUUCAACAGCCAACUUUCAAUCUAUUUUUUUUUUUUUCCCCCAAUGUCUAAGAUGUUUAACACAGCAUAAAGGCAGCUGGUACAAUCCAAAGGCUGGGCUUAACUACGCUUUCCUUCAGUAUUGACUCUAAUACAGCCAUAGGCCUGACCCAUCAUGAACAUAUCCCUGAGGCCUCGGGAAAUACUUGCUAUUAAACUAAGGUUCUGUGGUGAAGUUUUGCUAAAACGGCCUCGCUGUAACUUCUAAACAUUGUAAAAAUUCUUCUGCAUGUUAGUGGUUGUGAAAUGUGCUGGUUCGUUAUCUGUGAAAACUGAAGCCCAUUCUUUAUGGAUUAAUUACAGCAGAGCAGUUGCCAAGUGAUCUUCUCCACAGCACCCACGAACUUUGGCCUUACACUGAAGAGGACUCGUCAAAUGGUGAGAAAAUAAGUGUGGUUGUUGGGGCUAUAAAUUAUUGAGGGGAUGCUCUAUUAUUUUUUCUUUCCUUUGUAUCAAUUCUGUUAUUUAACUGGUAUUAAAGUUAGAUUGUUUUUGGUAGGGUAACUGCUGGGGCCAGAGCCUAAUUUCUCACCUUCCCGCCCGCUAUUUUGCUCGUUGCUUUCUCAAGCUUUAUCAUCUCCUUAUCCAUCCUGGACUUUUCCAAACAAUUGUUAGCGAUACACUGAAUUUAUGAGCUAUUUUUUUAUUACUUGAUUUAGCCUUAGUCCUGUGCAUGUGCUCAGCUGUGUUCACAGGAGGAUUUCUAUCAGCACCACCAGUCAGCACAGCACAGCUCGGAUGUGAGGAAUUGUUGGAAAGGCUGAAACUCAGACUUUGCAAAUAUGUAUUUCUGCAUUUAAAUGAAAUGCUACUGAAAUUAAUACAGGAGUGAGAGGUCUGGAAAUGCUUUAGCUAGCACUAAUUUGUUUGCUUUUAUGCUGUUCAAUUCAUUUCUUUUAAGACAGCAUGAUGUAAAUUGUUCAUUUGCUUCUCUAGUUUCCCAGUUUCUGGGAAAUUUUGAAAUCUGAGCUUCAAAACGUUUAUAAAAUGUUAGUAAUGCUCAUGAUUCUCAUAAAAGGAACAAAACGUUAUUGUGUUUAACCAUUUUGUGAAAAGGGAACUGAAUCUGGAGAGGAACUAAUUCUAUCAGUAACUCACUGCCUUAGUCAGGUCUUUAACCUUGCUCUAGCUCCGUACCAACACGGAGUCAUGAUUUUUACACGUAUGGGAUUAUUAAGCACGCAUUUUAAAUAGAGAGAAUUUCCUUUUUUAUAGCUGUAGGUGAAGGGUGGGAUAUUAGUAGUGGGAGAGGACAUGAGAAUGUAGCUGUUAAGCACUGGUACUGGCUUCCUGGUAGUUUUGAGAGGUGACAGCUUAAAAUAACGGUGUAUACAAUGAUCCACAGUUUAGGAGGCAGAUCACAAUGACCAGAAGUUCACAGGAUGCCAAGAGAUGUCCCUGAACUUUGUUGGUUCACUGUUUUGAUUUCAGUGGCUCAAUUUAUGUUUUCCUUUAGCAACUGCACUGUAGAGUAAGGAGUAAAAGGGACAGAACCCCACUAGCAGCUUACGAUCUCCACAUUUCCUCCUCCCUUUAUGGCUGCUACCACAGAGAUUGGAAUAUUGGGUAUUAACCCUCACCCUGCUCUUUACCAAAGCAGGACUGGAAGCGCGGGUGUGUUUGUAAGGCAGAAGAAAUGGCGAGCCCUUUACACCAAUAACCGAGUGAUGCUCUGUGUUAAGGAUUACUGCGGUACUGUCAGCAAACACUGAACUAAUUUAACCUUUGUCUGAGUUAGUUACCAUUUUGCAUAUUUAAAAAUGAGAUUUGAUACUUAAGCCAAAAAGAAGCAGUGGUUUUCAGGCAGAGUGCACUGAGAUAUAACCCAGAGGUCAUUUAUUUUUAAUCCAGAUUUAAUUUUCAGUUUCUUUUUUCUUCCUCGGGCACUUUCUUUAGUUUUCUUUCUGAGACCCUCUCCCCCGAAUUAACUCGAAGCAUUUAAUCAUUUGCACUCUGCUUCACCAAACAAUUAAUCUCGUACCUAAGUCACGAUACUUGCACGAGUCCAGCUUGUGAGAGAGAAGUCUGAAUGCACGUUAGCCCCUCACGUUUUGUACUUGGGUUUGCCUGUCUGAGAACCAAUAGGCUGGAUCCAGCCCAAGUGUGAGUCAGCAUGUAAGCAGGGUAAGGAGUUGGGGCUCAGAUCUGUAUGCAAGCUUGGUAUUACAAACGGGGUGAAUGCUUUCAAGAUGAUUUACAUUUGUUUUUUAAAUUUAAGCACUUCAGUUGUUUAGCUGAGCGGAGUUUAGAUACUCCAUAUGCUUAAAGUUAAAUGCUUAAAGAUAAGUGGCUUAAAGGUUUUCUAAAAGCAUAUUUGGAAUUGAUGUAAUUCUUUCACUUCAAUAGAAGUUGGAUGGUUUUGAAAAUCCCGUUUUUAUUGCCCUGCUAAGAAAGUAACGUUGUUUCUUUUAUUCCAUCCCUUUUUUGCUAAGUCGUUUUCACUCCUGGUCCCGUUCACAUUGUUUCCUUCCAACCUGUCCUGUAAUGUCCAGUUCUCUAUUAACUUUGCCACGCUGACUAUUCUUUGUCUCUAGAGCAAUAGGAAGGGUAUGAAGAGCACAGUGGGUGGCAUUUUUCAAAAAGGGAACUGGGACUUGCUCGUUAUUAAAAAAUUAUUCUCUAAUAAUAAUGAUCUGAAGCCAGGUAGCAGUAGCAGGAUCUUAAGGUGAUUCUUUAAUAGCCAUUAUGCUUAUUCUCUAAAAAACAAAGCAGAAAAACCCACUGAACAGAUUGACUCUUUAAACUUAACGUCAGUCUUCUGUUACUAAGCUGUGUAUCACUGAACUUUUCUUAAGCUUUGGGAGAUACAACACAGAAUUGGAAGAGAAGCAUGGAUCUACCUGAAGGGCAGUUCGCUGCAUUCUUGGUAAGUUCAAAACACGUGUAUAAAAUUUUAUCUCUGUUAAAUUUUCACCUUUAUGAAUUGACAUCUAUUUAAGGUCCUUUGCACAGGGACAGAACAAAGGCAGUUUCAUGGAAAUGGUCUCUAUUCUCUGGAUUCUUUUACGCUCUCACCCUGUAAAAACCUGUGUUGUGUUAUAGCUGAGUUUGUGGUGUGACUCCUGAAUGAAAACAGUAAAUGACAUGAAAUUCAGUUACUUUCACAGUGAUUAUACAACUGUGUUUUCAUGCCCACUUUCUGAAUAAAACAAGAUAUAUAGGAAUGAGUUUUCUCCUAGUAACUUCUGAAUCCACUGCUUCAUUUGAGCUGCAUUUGAUACAGAGAUAGAGGUCGCAAGGUCAAGUUUCUACAGUUUCAAUGAAACCUGGCAGAUGAGAUUAGAAAAAUGACUCGAAUUUGUGCCUCCAGGACAGAAAAAGCUUCAGCAUGGACUUGGAAGUUUUCUAUUCCAUUCAACCUGCUGCCUUGCAGAUUAGCAUCCUUGGUUGGUCUGAUGGUCACAAUGUGAGUUGCUCCCAGUAGUGAGAAGGUGGUGUUUUGUGAAGGAAUUUAGGGAAAUUAUUUAGAAGGGAGUGGGAAUCCAGCCAGGGUAACGUCAGCCUGGGAUUGCUGCACAAGUAUUUUGGGGCAUGUGCAAGCACAUUAGUAAAUAACUAGACUUUGUAACUUUGCUGGUCAUGAAAAAAACCCUUGUUUUUGCAAGAGCCUUCCAGUCUCCCAAACCAAUCAUGUACCCUUCAACUUUAUGGUGGUCUAUACCUACGUUAGAUGCAUGUUUUUCCUAUCCUUGUCAGAGAAGGGAAUUGUUGAGGCAGUUUCGCUAUUUCAUUUCUUUGAUGGCUUGAAUGUCAGCUCUGAGAUAUUCCAUAGGCUGUCACAUUUGUAACAGUGUGUUUUCCGCUCUUCUCAGAAACUGACUGUCAUUUGGACUGCAGCUAUGUGUCCCUGACCUCUCCUCCAGUCUGCACUCUCGGAGCAGUGCAUUGUAUUCCAGUUAACUUCCUUAUUGGAGAAAGAUGUGGAGCUAGGCAGAGGGGCAGAAAGCAGUAUUAGGAUCUGGCUGCAUAAGUUACCACGUUGCAUUGCAUCUUUGAUAAUGCCAUAUUUCCCUAGCUUUAUGGUCUUGGGCUCCUAGAGAACUGACUGUCCCAAAAAGUAUAGUCUGCUCAUUCUCAGUCAGUAAGAAAUGGGUACAUUAUACUUGCCAGAGGUACUGGUUCACUCAGGUAGGCUCAGGUGCUGGUUCACACUUGCAGGCUAAUGUGACUGGUAGGUCUGAUAUUUUUAAAUUUUCUGUGUAACAGUAGAUGGGAGAAGCAUUCAAGGCCAGACUGGAUGGGGCUUUGAGCAACCUGGUCUAGAGGGAGGUGUCCCUGCCUAGAGCAAGGGGUUGGAACUAGGUGACCUUAAAGGUCCCUUCCAACACAAACCAUUCUAUGAUUCAAUAAUUCUAUAUCUUAAGACACUUUUUGAACAGAACUUACAGCUGGAGCACCGAUCUUGAGAAAGAGGAGUUGAAUUUGUCAUUAUAAGUCAUGUAUAUAAACCAAAAGUUUUAAAGGGAAUAAAAGGCGAAGAAACACUUCAAAUUCAGUAACUUCUAAGACAACUGCCUUGAAAUUUGUUGUAAUGUCUGAAAUGUGGAUUUCAAAUUUUUGCUUGUCCUCCUGCCCAGUUGAAAGCUUUAAGCCUGGCAAGGAACAAAAAACUGUGGUGCUCUUCUCCAUUUUCUGUUUGUUUACAAGUCUGUUGUUUGACAAAAUCACAGCCAGUAAGAGAACAACUUGUUGCUCAAAAAUAAAACCAAAAGUAGAGAAUUAAAAAAGACUGCAUUCCAUCCUUAUGGAACUCCUGAUUCUUCUGUUAGAUUGUCAGAUCCUUUAAUUUGUUCGUAGCUUUUGCUUGUUUGUUUUAAAUAUUGUUGUUUCUUUAAUGGUAUCUAAAUUAAAGGAAUAAAGAAAUGUCUUCUGCAUGUUUCUAGGAUCUAGUUCUUAUAUCCUUUAUCAUCAGUGCUCUUGCACAGUGUCACCAGUUAAAUAUUAUUUCAUGGAACCCAUGGUUAAUGUGUUUGUAAAUGUUUUAUGAUAUAGAAAAGCGUUGUAACUGAAAAUAAAAUGCCUUUUAAAGAUCAACAUAGAUGUAUUUUUAAUAAGAACAGUGAGGUCAAAUCAUAAAUGUUAAGUUUUGUGUGAAUGGCAAAGAGGUGGUAUAUAUUUGUUUAACAUUACAUUUGUACUUCCUGCAUUCUAAAUAGUUUUCUGGAGGAGCUUAAAUUUAGGAAAUGAUUGCAGUUGAUUUUUGUAAGGAUUUUUUGUUUAAAAAAGAUCACUUUUAGUCUAAAAUUGACUACUGUUUAUCAUGUGUUUUCAAAUACUUUAGUCUUCGAUGCUGCUGUAUGUGGCCAGAUGCUUUCAUAGAAUCACAGAAUGGCCUGGGUUGAAAAGGACCACAAUGGUCAUCUAGUUUCAACCCCCCUGCUAUGUGCAGGGUCACCAACCACCAGACCAGGCUGCCCCGAGCCACAUCCAGCCUGGCCUUGAAUGCCUCCAGGGAUGGGGCAUCCACAACCUCCUUGGGCAGCCUGUUCCAGUGCGUCACCACCCUCUGUGCGAAAAACUUUCUCCUAAUAUCUAACCUAAACCUCCCCUGUCUCAGUUUAAAACCAUUCCCCCUUGUCCUAGAACUAUCCACCCUUGUAAACAGCCAUUCCUCCUCCUGUUUAUAUGCUCCCAUCAGGUAUUGGAAGGCCACAGUGAGGUCUCCCCGGAGCCUUCUCCAAGCUAAACAAUCCCAGUUCCCUCAACCUUUUCUCAUAGGAGAGGUGCUCCAGCCCUCUGAUCAUCUUAGUGGCCCUCCUCUGGACCUGCUCCAAGAGCUCCAUGUCCCUCCUGUGCUCGGGGAUCGUGAUCAUAAAGACCUCAGAAAUUCACUGACCUAUGCUGUCUCUCCAAACUUUAUGCUGAUUUGAAGCAGACUUAAACACUAAGAAGCAACUAUGAUAAUGGCUUUUUAUAAAGUAAUAAUUAAAAAUACAUCUAAAUUUCUACUUCAAAUGCAUAUUGGUAAAAGUUCCCAUAACGUGCUGCUGUUACAUGUAAGGCCUGUAAGCAAUUUGAAGUCAACAUUCUGUAAAAAAAGGAACUAAGAAUUCCUAUAAAUAACGUGCAACUUAAAGAUGUAUGGAACUCCUUUAUUAUGUGCUAAACGCUGUAAUAAAAUGGGCUAUCAGAGGGUUUUGCUGCAUGUUACUAAUUUUAAUUUCUUUUUUUUUAUCCCAAUAUUUUUGCAGGUGUGUGGAGGAACGGGUCCCGUGCUCACUGUUGUUACUCCCACAUAGGCGGACUCUGUAACUGAUUAUAUGUGGGUAGGGCCCUAUUGAAAUUAAGGAGAUUCUGCAGUAGUGCGGGGUUCUGUUUGUGUGACCCUACUGUGCCUUCUUACUGUGAAUUCUGUCAGUGUAUCAUGGGUUGUGCUGGAACCUGCCUUUUGGGAUAAUGUAAGUUCUGCCUUUCCCCCAAAUGUACUUUAGACGUGAAAUAAUCAUUAAAAAAAAAGUUUUGAAUUAGAAAAUAAAUAUAAUUUACAUGCGUUCUUUUAAUUAUGUUUUUUUGGCAGUACCAAAUAAUAUAUUCCUCAAAACUUCUUAAUGGCACUGAGGCUUUGUGGAUAGUUGGUCACAUGAUGAGAAAAUUCAGCUGUAAGUACACUGAAAUGAUUGAAUUUUUCAAUAGUUAGUCUUUGCUGAUGUUGACAGACUAAUAAUGAUAAAAGGGUUAAUCAAGAGGUGUGAUUUAUGUGUGACUCCGGUUCUUUUUAGAAAAUCCAUACAAUAUAUCCAUUAAGGAUAUCAUUAUUCUUGGAUAAUUCACCACGUGAACCCGGAGUCCUUCAGCACUGCUGUUAGGUAGGGAGUUUUCAUUUGUUUAUUUCCUUUGCUUUCAGAAGAGUGUGUUUCUGAGCUGCUCUCUAUCUUCACCCAUAAAAUUUUCCAAAUUUAUAGAUCUAUAAAAACCGUUUAUGCCUCCAAUAUUUGUGUAGCUACUGCAAGCAGAUUUACUAACAUAAUUGUCUUGCUGAGUUGAACGUUGAAAUGUUAAUAAAUAUAUACUUAUGCUCAUGUCAAAGUAACUUGGUUAAAUUAAACUAAACUGAUCUGACGUUAUGAGUGGCAAUUUGAUCACACAUGCUGAUUAAUUAUAGGCUUCUUAGGCAAGAACUGUAUAUUUUAUUUUAACUAAGUACCCUGUGCUUAAUCGGUAAUAAUUAUCCAUACCCUUUGUCAGUGGAUUCACCCAAAAUAACUAUAAAUAUACUUGUAUUGAAGAGGAAGUUUUUUGCUUGUAUCUAUGGGUACAGGCAUUGCUAUGAUUCCUAUUUUUAUAUCCAAGAGAGCAAAAAUUAUGUGUAGGUGUUUUACCUGUGUAACGCUAAUGGCUUUAUAAACUCCAUGCCCUUUUUUUUAUGAUGGUGUAUUUCCUUUCUGGUGUUCAAGUACAAAAAUGUUCUGAAGGCAAUCUUGUAUCUGGAAGAUGGAAGAACUAGAAUUGGUAUUGAAUCUGUGAGUAAUUAUUAAGGAAGUGUGAAGCUGUAGAGGAUUUGUAGGCAUGGCCAAUUAGAUAUUCCUUCAUGUAGAGCAAAGAUGCAGACAGUGAUUGGGGAGUAAAGAAAAAGAGAUUGUAGAAUUAUUUUUUUGCUUGGCACAAAAGUAACAUUAAAUGAAUUUGAAGAAAGAGCAAGACCAAAGAAGAGAUCAUAACCAGAUCAAAAGCAGACUUGAGAGUCCAAUUAACAAACAAAUGAACAAACAAACAAAAUAAAACUCAAAAAGAAACAAGGAACUAAACAGAAGAAUAUAUGGCAAAAAUAUGCCCAGAAGGAGAACUGAAUGUGUAGCUACUGGUACCUUUCAUUUCAUCAAAUAUCUGGUUGAUUUACCUAUCUAUUUAAUUUAAAACUUCCAGGAAAUGUCUUUCUCUACAGUUCUCUGCAGUUUUUUUGGAGGGGUCGUGUGGGCUUUGGAGAGUUAGUGACUGUGAAUUACCUGUAUAAACAGAGUAUUUGAGAUGACAACUGCAACUAAGAACAGAGGUCGAUGGUCUACAUAUGCUAAAAUGUGGCUAGUGCUAAGCAGAAGAAAGAGCUUCUUGUUCAAACUCAUAACUUAACUAUUUUAAAUUUGAACAUCUCAAAGAGAGCUCAAAACCCAACGGGAUUAUUUUGGUUACGGGAUGUUACGGUGCUUCUUUUAUAAUUUCUGAACACAAAAAUGAAAUGGAGUUAUUUUUUAAUAUGAGAUGAAACCAUAGUUUGAGAACAUUGAAUGUUUCUCCUGAAUAAUGAGAACACUGAAUAUUUCACUUUGCAUCUAAAAUCUUGAAUGAUAUUUUUUUUGUUUGUUUGUUUAAAAAGCACAGUUCUAAUAGUUGACUAUUUUCAUCUUUUAGUUCUAUAUGCCAUAUUUAUUCUUACUUCCCCUAAGUUGUGCAAAGGAAAGAAAAGGAGAGAGAGAUCAGGUGAUUGCACAGCAACCAAACCCAGCCUCCUAUGUUCCCUCUCCACACCAGAUUGAAAAAAAAAAGUGCCUCAGAAAAGAUCUGGUUUCAGAAGAGAUAAAGAAGCAAGGUGAUAUAUUAGUCAGUGGGGUAUGAGGAGGCCCCUGGAUGUUUCAUAUGUCUCCAAGUUUUUCAGUCAUCUCUACGGAGGGCAGCUCAUACACAUCUGACUGCAUCUCCUUCCUGAGAGAGCAACUUCCCUGUGCUUUGAGAGAAAGAAUGUAGGGGCACAGCUCUAUUCUGCCUGAGGUAAUGCUGCUACAAAACACUGUUUGGAAGAAAAGGAACUCUGAAUUGUCUCCUGCUGUAUGUCUCCAGUACUCACGGCUGCUAACCCGUGUGGUUGAGCACCUGAUCUGCUUGUUCCUUUAGUUCAACCCAUUCUGUGCUGUUGUAAAUGACUAAAACUAGGAAACAGCAAGAAAGCAGACACGAAGAGAUCUUGUUGAUGUUUGUGGAAUUUAGGGUGUGGGCAUUUGCUACAUGGGCACACUUUAUGUAGGUUUGGGAAUACUUCAAGGGCUGGAAAUACCAAACUAGAGCAAAGGAGAGUAAUUUUCCUUCAGUGGCAAGCUGAAAUGAUAGCCUUGGUUCUGUACAAUAAGGAGGAAGAGGAAAGGAAUGUGCCUGAAUGUUCAGCAUGUUAGUUGUUUUAACUUUAAGCUGUAAGAUCUUUUUCUCCACUGCUGUUUGCGCUUGGCUUGUAUCACCAAUGUCCUGUCUUUGAGCUGGAUGUAGCAUGUUUUUGUUUGCUGAAUGAGGCACCCAUCAAAUUACAGUGUCAUGAACAUUCUUCUUCUUCAGUCCUUGAAAGUCAAAACAUGGUAGCUCAGGUAGCUGUAAUAACCCAGUAAUAAAUGUGGCGUGAAAGAAUUUUCUUAUUUCAUAGUACAGGAAGAACAGUGUUUUAUGUGUCACUUCAUAUACCUCCUCCCAUCUUCUUUUCUACUCCUAAGCAGAUCUAAUGCAUGAAAAUUUUCUUCAGCGUUGUCCUCAGUUCUUUAUUUCCAGUUACAACUUUUGUUAGCAAUUUUUUCAUAUUUUUGGUUGGGGUCCUCACAAAACCUCUCUGCAUCCUCGGUGAAUGACACCAUCAUGCUGUUGUUUGCUUUAAGUCAUCAAACCUAGGCUAAAUCUUAGUUUUUGGAAAUCUUUUUCCAAUCCUUCAGGGAUGCUCUUUCUUCUCUGUUGGUUGCUUGUAUUUUUCAUCCAGGUUUUCCAUGGAUCAUAUCGUUAUUAGAAAAUCUUCUUCUUUUGCCUUGACAAAUGUAGUCUUGUCAUUAUGCGUUCCAAGUGCUGCUGUAAAUAUCAGUUUCCAGAUUUACUCCUUUGGCUUUUUAAACUUCCUCCUUCAAUUGAAAGCAAUAAAGAUAAGCUAUCUGUCUUUGUUUUCAAGGCCCAUCAAGACUACUUCUACCUGAUACCUUUCCUUCAGUAUCAAGAGGUUGACUCUGAUUUUGAUCAACAUAUGAUGCCAGCUUCCAUCAUUCAGUUGUUAUAUUUUCACACUGGAUACUUUCUCCUCAGCUGCCUCUCGUGUAGUAGCUGACUCCUUCAUAAACAGAACUGUUUGCUGUCUCCCUUUAAUAUCUUCUUAAAAGUUUUAUGUACUGUGAAGCUUAUGACAAUCCAACUAGAAAAUAAGUAUGUUGUACAAGUAUACUAAUACCGAUGCUUGUCACAGUAAUACUUUGUCAUUGCCUUUGUACUCUGCAGUAAUCUCUGUUGUCUCUUCACGUAGAAUUCAUGUGGACUUUUUGUUGUAUGCUUAUUCAUGGCCCAGCAUAACGAGAAGUGGUCCAGGGUGUAGCCUUCUAGGAUUUGUGGUAAUGCAAAUAAAUAAUAAUGAACACUUGUUGGAUACUGCAGUGUAGCCUCUGGAUUCUGCUGAGCCCUGACUCGCAUCAUACUUAAUGCAGAAAUAAGGUGCUCACAAAAAUAGGGGCCUCACAAAAGGGAAAGAAGUGAGUUUCAGCCAACACAGAAAAUGCUAGCACCCCAGAAGUCUUCUCAGCUGUCGAACCCAAGUCAAUAGCUACUGGCAUUGUGUCCAGAAAGCACCCCUCUUUAUCUUCUCCACAGCAGUAACAGCAGACUCUCCCUCCUCAGAGGAAGUUAAUGUGAGUAUUACGAAUCCUCAGUGUAUACAAGAGAUUAAAGGACUUCAUAUACUUCCAUAGUGUCAUUCUGCUACUUAGUGCCUUCCCUUCCUGACACAGCAUCUCUUGGUACAGAAAUCUUGAAUAACCACAGGCCAUUCUGUUGGUCAGUCCUUGUCAAAUACCACUUGGUUCUCUGUUGAGAAGGAACCUGCACUAGUUUUGAUUCGGUAUCAAGGUACGUUGCUACCUGAUACUGCUCUGUUUCCCUGGUACCUUGAAGAUAAUGAUUCUUCAGAAGAGUGGUAAGCGUGAAUUGCAACAGGAAUUCCUCAGGUAUGUCGUUCUCUUUCUGGAAGUGGGUCUGCAUGUGUCCCUUUUCCUUCUUUCAAAGUGACACCAAAAUAUCAGCAUUUAGAUGAUAACAGAGAUGAUGAAAUGUUAGUGCCUUGCUGAUAGAGAAAUGAUAGAUUGGUCUGUUGGUCUCUAUAUGCUAACUAGUCAAAUAAGUUAAAUUUAUCAGACUAAACCACAAAAUAUAAUUACAAGUGGUUCCAUAUCUGAGCAGGAGAAGCCUGGCAAGAGCUCUGAAUGAGCUGAUAGAGUGGACACAGUGACCGUGAAAUACAGCAGGAGGCCAGAGAGGCUAUACAAUUGAGAAGCUCGAUAGUAACAAGAGUUUUCAGUUUUCAAACUAUGGUCUGGAUAAGCUUAACAUUAGGGCAUCAUGCAUAAGCUGUGUUUUUAACUACCAUCAAGAACUAACUUUUGAGCAAACUAUCCAGAGAAUCCAGUAGAACGAGGACAGCUCUUGAGUUCGUUUAGAUUAGUAACCAGGAUUUGGUUGACAAAGUAACUAUAGGAAAGACAUUUGGUAGUGGUACAUCAUAUCAAACUGAAGUUUGUCGUAUUUGCAUGAGAGAAAAAGAUAAAAAUAAAUAAACAAUCCAGUAUUGUUUAACUGUAAAAAAGAACUGCAUACAAAUGAAGAAAUCGUUCAAGUAAAAAUUGUAAGAGGCUAAGAGAGACACAGAGUGUUUGUUUUCUAAUUCUGACCCAAGUGAAUAAGAAUUCAUGACAACUGAGCAGUAAGGGAAGUUACGAGGAACAAAUAGAUGUUUUUCAAAAAGUGAAAUCCAAACAAGCAAAGAGGAGAAGAGCACAGUUCUGGGAAGUUAAAUGUAGACCUAUUCUAAGGAGGGACAAAAAGAUUUUGAGGAGCAAUAGGCUAAAAUCAUAAAAGCAAAAAGAAAAAUCUAUAAGUGUAAACUUUUCAGUUAAUUCUGCUAGCAGGACACCGAGUUCCAGAGACAGAAUAUUUAAAGGCAAAGCCACUGCAGAAGGAAACAUAUGGACAAACCCUUACAUUGGCAGAGUUCAUUCCAGGGACAUUAGGAACAGUCCCAUAUAAAAGUUGUUCUUUAUAAGAAGUAUUUCAAUUUUUAAAUAUCAGUAAAAGAUUUUUGAACAACUUGAUUAAAUGGGCAUUAGCAGAUUGCCAGAUAGCACGAUGUUCUUUCGGUAGUUGCAGAGAAAUUCAGAAAUAAAACUGGUUAUCUGUGAACUGUGUUGUAUUAUCUAUCAUUUAAAUUGGUGUUGAUGACAGAGGAAUGGAAAGCAGCAAAUGUGACCAUGUUAAAAAGGUCUCUAGGGACGAUCGUGGACUAAUGUACUAAUAAGUCUGACUUCCAUGGCAGGCAAAAUGCCAGUGAAUGUGAUAAAGAAUAUAAUUAAUAGGAACACGUGUGGCUGUAAUAGGCAACCAUCACCUUGACUUUCUGUACAGGGUAGUUUUGUCUUACGGCUUCGCUUAUUGUUUGAAGCAGUAAACAGACACAUGGGAAUGGGUCACCCAAAAAGCUUUUAAAAAGGUCUAUCACCAAAGAAUGUUAACACAGUGAAGUGUUGAGAUACGUAAGAUUCCUUGUGGAUUAAUAAACGGUUACAAGAUAAAGAAGACUAUAGCAACUAGUAGGUGGCUUUAAUGACACCACCUCCCAGCAAUUUGUACUGGCACCUUUUCUGGUUCACCUGUUCCUAAAUGGUAUGAAAAGGUGCAGUGAUAAUGCUUAGAGACAAUAAAAGGCUACUGUGCAUUUGGAGUCAGAGCUGACGUUGGCCCUGAAGAGUUGCAGAAGGAUCUCACAGCACAGGCUGUGGUGCUGCAGGAGCCACGGCUGUCCCAGAGGCCAGGUAUGACUGACCCACUGUUAAACCAGACCUGUCAGCAGAGAGGGUCAUUACCUCAUCAUCUGUCAGCUCUGCAGGCUGCAGCCAGGCCUGCUGCUCAGAAAGGCAUGGACUUGCAGCUGUUCUAACAGGAGCUGCAACUUGGAAGUUCUACUUCCCUAUUUCUUAGGGUUUCACAGCCUUAGGUGAGCUUGAAAUACAGACUUUGAUCCUGGCAUUCCUGCCUGUCACAGAGGUGAAGUUUAAUUGUUAAGCUGAUGGCUGCUGUCUGGCUGCUGUGAAAAGCCUGGGUUCUCAAGCCUUUUCCUAAUGCUUGUGUGGAUUUUUAGCAGCUCUUGCUGAUUUCUUGAAAUCAUUCCGGAUGGAUUUGAUGCAAUAUGGUACUUGAAACAAAGGAGUCAUGCUGGCAUACCAGUCAGUUUUGAGCACUGAUGAGAAUUAUAUAAAAAACAGACACGGAUGAUGAAGAUAUGGCACAGCUAUUGGGCAGGGACAGUAACUGAAUCAGGAUUCUUCAUUUUGGAAAAAUGCUGGCUGAGGAGUAAUAACAUGAGAAAGAUCUCUAAAACCACGAAUAUGUGGAAGCAUUUAAUAGGAGACUCUAACUCUUUAUUUCUUAGAAUAGAAUAACAAGGAGCCCUUGGUCACUGUUUUCUGUAUCUUAGGUGACCUUUAUGAUAGCAGAAGAUACCAGUUUCAUCUGCCAUAGUUCUGUGGCACAAAACUGCACAUCUGUUUGUCCUGGACCAGCCGUGGCCAAAACCCAACCUGUGUAGAAUUACAGCUUUUCUGUAAAUAAAAGCUCGUAGGCCUUGUUGUCUGAUGAUAAAUUUUCAAAUAUGAAUCAAAUGUAAAUUGGUCCCUUUUUCCUAAACCUGAAAGAUAUACAUAUAUUUAUUGAUAUCUAAACUAUGCUUCUGUCUAUUCCUUUGUCUGGCAGUAGUAAUGUUAUGGUCAUAUUGGCCUUACUUCUCCUGUUUACAAAUGUAUGGGCGAAGGAGAAUGCCAGUUUGCUGCUACUUCAGAAAGCCAGAAGCAAAUAGCAGGUCCUAAAAUCAGUCUCAGGGGAAAUCAGAUAGAGGAGCAGUAACGUUUAACACAGCAACCGGAAGGUCAGGAGGGAGGGAGGGAGCAGGGAACAUCAUCGUAUUUCUGACGUGGCAGGAAUGGUUUUCAAGCCGUGGUCCACUAAGCCCUAAUGGGCUACAGGACUAUGGUAAGUUGAACAGCCGUUGGGCUAAACCAUAUCUAAUGGUGCUUUAAAUAGCACCUUCAAUUAAAAGUUUAAUCAGGUGGGAGUGUGCUGUUUUGUGAAAAAUGUUAAGGGCUGACAGCAAUCUAUUGCUCCAGAAAUUUGGGCUCUGCUCUUCUGCUGUGUAUGAAAAGGCAGAGAGCACUGCCUGCUUUUUCAACAUUAGAUAGGCCACAUGCCUCUGCAGGAGAAGCAUAGAAUCAUAGAAUCAUAGAAUUGCCAAGGUUGGAAAAGACCCAGAGGAUCAUCCAGUCCAACCAUCCGCCCUUCACCAAUGGUUCUCGCUAAACCAUGUCCCUCAACACAACAUCCAAACGCUCUUUGAACACCACCAGGCUCGGUGACUCCACCACCUCUCUGGGCAGCCCAUUCCAGUGCCUGACCACCCUUUCAGAGAAGUAGUAUUUCCUAACGUCCAGCCUGAAGCAGCAGCAAGAGAUUCCCAGAGGGAGCCAGGAAGAUCAAGCUGGUAGCAGCAACCCUUCUGUCCCCACCACGUCCUUCCCAGGAUCUAGUAACAGAACGGCUGCUUUUUUAAUUGUUGCCUUGUCCUGAGCACCGCUAAUAGUCUUUGCUCCUCUUCCUUUCCAUCUGCGCUCAUGAAUAGUGGAUUUAGUGGCCUGAGAAGUGAGGAUUGGGUCCCCAUAGCACAAAGAUUAGACUUCUCAUCUUAAUCAAAUGAACACAUAUGUACAUCUUUGAAUGCUUAUCUGACUUUCUAGCAACAUUAGCAGAUGCAGACUUUUCUUACGAGUAUUAGCCUGUCUUAGCACAGGAUGAGUUUAUUACUCUAAAAAAAUCCACUCCUAUUUGACCACGCUCUUUAGUUUACAUAAGCUCCCCGGAUGGUAAUUUUACAUUGUAAAAACCUUCCUUUUCCUCCUAUCAAGCCUCCUAUUAUUAUUAUUAAUAUCAUCCAUACUGACAAUUUUCCAGAAUCGUAAUGUAUUUGUAUUAGCUAUGCUUUCAGUUGCCCCAGCGUAGGUUACUUUCUGUUGUCAUAAAUACCACACAAGCACAUCCAUAAAUAAUUUGCAGACAUUAUAUCUUUUCCAACAUACUGCACAGCUUUUUAGCAGUCACGGUGGUGCUGAAGUGGAGAAAUGCCAAACUAUAAACCUCAUUCAAAUGGUAUAAAUGUGUUUAUCCUGAAGAAGUCUAUUGUCUUACCUAAAGUUAGAUUGUAGCAUACGUAUUAUAUGAAAGGUAAGCAAAAUACUACUGGCAACAGCAGUUACAGUAACGGUGUUCUAAGGGAAUUAAAGUAGGCCAGCAUGCUCUGUGUAACCCUUUUUUUGUCGCACCUCUCUUAUUCCUGUUUUUUUGAUACAUAUAGGAAAUGAGUUUUGUGAAUGCUUUUAUAUUAUUGUUAUUAUAUUAUUAUUACUAAAUGCCCCUUGCUAACUGAUAGGAUUCUGCAGUCACUUUUCAGUGUUCUAAUAUGUACAGUGCGUAUGGUUGGUUUGUCUUGUUCACAUGCACAGGGCUAAGCUGGGUAUGAGGUCAGGAGGAAAUCUUUGCCUUGUAUCAGAAAGAAAUAUACAAGGGAGGAGAGUGCUUUUCUAGCACUGUAGUGUGGAAAAAAACCUAUUUACCAGUGUCAUCUGGGGGUGAUAGGAGAGAGGGAUUAAUAUGCUUAUAAGCAAGGCAUGUGGGUAUAGAAGCAGUGAUGGAGUAUAUGGGUAGAACUGAAGAUCAGUGUAUGGGAGUAAAGAUUUAGGGGCAGAGGUCAGAACAGGAUUCCUGUAGGAGCUGGAGAGGUCACAGCUGGAUAAAUGCAUUGGGGUCAGCUGGAAGUCAGUACCCCAAACGUGGCUAUAGCUCUGCCACAUCCUCACUGCACACUUUCCCUGUCUGUUCUCUCCUGUGUCUUCUGGAAUCCCAGCUUCUUGUCUGAUUGUGAACUGGAAACCUUACUUUCCUGCUUACUCCAGAAACAAGGAUACACACACAAGUACAGAAGGCCCCUCAAACCCCUCCCAUUGGAAGCCUCUCUUCUUACUGUUCUUUCUAUGGGAUUCUGCAAUGUAGGUACAGCCAGGUGAGAAGUGGGCGCUGGGAGCAAAAUAAUGCCUCUGCUUCGCCUCUUCGUUUGCAUCUUCUCCAAGUGGGAUGUAUCCCAUCAUUAGAAAUCUGCUCGUCAAAGAGGAGUUCUUUCAUUCUUUUUCCCCCCUAUUCGUUAGAAUGUGACAGGUUUUUUUUUCUAUGUGGUGAAAUACAGUUUUUUGAUAAUGUUUGUCUUACCAAGAAGCACAACAGUUCGGGAUUUCUAGAGCCUAAUCUCUUCUAAUUCACAAUUCUUUGUGAUCCAGGACCUUCUUAAAAAGAAAGAAAUCCAGUGGGUGAGUGCAGCUACUGCUGAUACUGUCAGCCUUCUGAUAGUGUGCCUCGUUUUUUCAAUUACUAUUUUGCAGCCCACUUAAAAAUUGUUCAUAAAACCUCAAGAGUCUGCAGAUUGAGAGCCACUUUCUAAGGGGGUAUCUUUAAAUGGACGUUACUGUGUUGGUGGGGUUUUUUAAUUCAGGUGUUGGGUCUUUUUCUUCUAUCCCAUCUGUGAAACACCAAGUGUUGAUAACCAUCUGUGAAACAACAUUUGAUGUAAUGGCUACGACACUGCUUUAGAAAGCUCGUGAAAUAGAUUGCCUGCUUAGAAGAGCUGGCAUCUAAAAAUGUAUGUCAUGGACACAGGUAAUAAAUGUUGCUUGGGAGCUGUUACAGGGGAAAAAGAACUUAAUUUGUGUACGAUAUACUGGUCUUAACUUCUUAGCUUUUUAAGAUGUCUUUCUAAGUAUCCUGCUGUAUGCUCGUAAAGUAUUUAAAGAUACGAGUCAUUGCAUUUGCUGAAGUAUUCAGUGCAUCAUUUAAAAUGACUACCAAAGGAGAGAGGUGGAUUCACUUCACAUAACAGCUAAGCAUAAAAAUAAUGAUUCAGAAAUAAUCGUGUGGUUCCAGAUCAGUAAAAAUCAUUUUGUUUUUCUGUACAAGCAGAGCUCUGCACAGAACGGUGAUCUCAUUCUACCUUAUCAGAUUACAGUUCCCUACACAGAUUUUCAGUACUAAACUUUAUUCUGGUGAUUUUGUAACUUUAUUCAGAAAAAGGGGGAAAUGUAAACACUUUAAGUAAUCACUCUUUGUCCGUGCUAAAAGACUGCAUGCACAAGCUUAGUGUUUCCCCCCAGGAUUGGAUCCGUAGUCCUUCAAGUUUUGCUAUUACAGGGAAUGUGCAGGUGAAUAGGGAAAAGCAAAUGUGAAAGGAAAGAAAUCAGACGGAGAGGAGGAAAUUUCCCUUCCUUUACAGAAGGAGGGGAAAGAUGCAAGACGGUGUAAUGAGCGCAGGAGAAGUAACAGGGUGGAAAGGGAGGAAUAAUGUUUAGUGCUCAGACUUGUUAUGCUUUGUGCUUGCAUGGAAGGCAGACUGAGACUUCAGCUUUCUGACUAACUGCUGUGCUGAGCCGUACUUUACUCCAUGUGCAUUUUUGCCUUAGCGUGGCUGCUUCUAAAGAAGGCUUGAAAUUAUCUUUCUGAGGCAACCUAAACCACAAAGUGUAUUAUCCUGCUAGAAAAUAAUGUCUACCCCAAUGUUCUGUCUUCCUAAUCUAGCAGUCUAAAAACACUGCUGGAAACACAAAUAAUAAAAAAAGCCAGCUGUAUGUGUAUUUGCUGUUGUCAAUUCCACUCACUGGCAUUCGGGGCAGGGGACAGGCAUGCAGAAAGGCUGUAACACUGAACAGUGGCAAAAAUUCUGUGCAAAACCUUGUUGUAAUAACGAUGGAAGUGAAAACUGGCCUCAUUUAUCAAGUCGUUUUUUUGGUCAAGUUCUUGUCCACACCACGUUUGAGGCUCUUCAUUCUAGAUGGAACACUUAUAGCCAGUACUUUAUGUACCGUACUCAAAGAGCAAUAUGAAAUAUAAGUGAUUGUCUAAAUCAAGAAGAGGUUUAUCUAUUAUCUCUACAUCAGUUUGUCAGAACUUAAAUGGAAAGGGAGACCGAACGGAAAACUAUAAAUAUAUUAAAAUAUAUUAUAAAAAUAGAAAUACAUAAACCUUAACUGCUAGUUUAUCAUCAUUCAACUGGACUAGGCAAAGUCACCUCAUAAGCAAGUGUAGGUAUAGAUCAACAGACUACUCACAUGAGCCUUCAUUACAGGGUAGCCAUCAGCAUAUGGAUUUCAUCCGUAAUCUGUAAUAAAAUAACAUAAAUUAGGAAGAUGGCAAAAAAAGGUUUAAUUCAUCAGUUUGUUCAUUUAUAUGUUUACAUAUUUCUAAAGAGUACAUAUGGCCUUAUAGCAGAGUCAAUAGGGAAAGCAUAGGGUUUUUUUAACUGCACAAUUAAUAUUUAUAUAGCAAGUAGUCCUAGUCUCCGUGAGUUAUAAUGCUAAAAGCUUGUUUAUUUUUAAACAAACCUCCUGUUUUCUUAUAUUCACUUGAUGCUAUGCAUAAAACACCUUAGCUGUUCACCUGAGCACCACGUCAGUGUCACUGAGCCCUAAACUGAUGCACAGCAGAGUGCAUCCCUGCGAAACUGGGGACAGAAAUGGGUGGUGCAGGGACAGCAUUUGUGGUGCCAAUUCACAAUUCAUUUUUGGGUGGUAACAUCUACUUCUUGGAAGGCAGAAGAGCUCAGUAUUAAUUUCUACUAAUAGAAAGGUACAGGUCUUCAAAAGAAUUACACUCCCGUGUUGCAGGAUUCGUUUUCAUGCAUAGUGUCUGUGCCAUUGCACAGGAGAAUCUGGACAGCAGUCUGUAAGAGUAACGGUAAGAAGACUGAAAAACUGAUGUAGCUGUGUUCAUUCAAAAAGGAAAUUGAAAUUAAAAGCAGACAGAACUUUGAGAAGUUCUAGGUAACAGACUUCAUGCCGUAUGUUACAUUUAGCCGCUACCGUUAUGUUGUUUUGCAUUAACACUGUACUAUUUUCCAUCAAAAGUCUGCAAUUCUUUAGGUGAUGUAAACUCUUCAGUGCAGAGUCGUAUUUCAAGCAGGGUAAUAUUUAGCUUUUAAAGACAUCUUUUUAAUUGCAUUGACAGAUCCAUGUUGUCCUUACAUAACAGGCAGGAUUGGGGUGACUGUAUCCUGGAAUAGUCAUUACAAACAUGGUAUGUGCAAGGCCAUUGCAUGCGCAGGUCUCCAAGGUGGUAUGAAUUGCACAGUCCCGGGAUUACGUCUCAGACUCUCUAUACAGAAAAGUGCACACUGUGAACACUGUCCCAUUGGGAUGUAUUGCAGAUUCCCCAGAGCGGUGCUCAGGAGGAAGCUGCUUUUCCCAUCCUCUUUUCUGACUAUUUAUGCUUUGGUACCGCAGUUCUCUAAGAGCAGUGUUGUGCUUUUGCAUCAGGGCUGGCAAUCUGGUGAAGGUGGGAUAAAGAGGUUAUCCCUUCAGACUUGCUCCUGGAGCUUCUGCAAACAGACAGGACUAUGUAUCAACAUUAAAACCACCCCUCCAUCCUUGACUCCUGUCUUUAAUUAUAGCUCAUUUAAAGCAACCAUUAAAAUCCAAGUAUCCUAUUUGUAAAUAAUCACUGAAUUGAAUGGCAAAUGACUGAAAUAUCAGCAGUGCCAUUUUAAGUAUCAGAUGCAUGUGAUAUUUCCUCAAUCACAUUCUUAAUCUUGGGAAUAUAGAAUCCCAGUCACGCCAAGCUUUGACUUUAGAUCACAGGAGUUAAGCUUAAGGCCCCAGCAGUACAUAAAUAUGCCUAAGAGAAGAGCAAACUUAACUUUGACUGGAUCAGAAUAAUUUUUUUGUGUGUGUGCUCAGUAUAUUAAUGUUUGGUAAAUAUAAUUAAACAACAACAACAGCUACAAAAAUCCACGGCACAAACAUACUGCAUGUUCUGUGCAGAUGAAAGCUGUUGGUAAAUUCUGCUUGUUCAGAAUAAAGGAAGUUGAAAAUGUGCUCUCUUUCAUAUUACUUUAAUCUUAGUGUCGUUACCUGUAAGUAUUCAGCACAUCUAUGCUUGUAGAAACCUAGUGAACUUUGAGAAAUUAACAACAUUCCAAAGACAUGGUUCAGAGUCUGAGAUGUAGGCCUUAGGAUGGGAUGAAUCGCCCUCUGGAGGUGCCCGUUUCAGUCUACUGGCUUCACAGGGAUCCUGCCUUGCACUGCCUGGCUUAAACUGAAAGCUAAGUGAGUGGACUGUCACCAGAGGAGAGGAAUAACUAAGCCAUACUGGGUCUUUUCUGUAGACCUUUCUGUUUGUUAAGAAUAGCUACCUUUAUUUGUCACUGUUCUUCUUGCACCAUUUAUAAAAUGAGUAAGUACAGUUGUUACUGCCACUAUUUCCUGUGCAUUUCCUGUUUGUUUUUUCCUUUUCCUGUCUCUUUUCAUCUUAUUAUCUUAUCUUUCUCUGUCUUUUUAUCUUUCCCUGGCUUUUUUUAGCUACCAUCUCUUCCGACGCUUCUCAUUCUCUCCCUCUCUGACCACUCUGCCUCCCGUCCUGACAGCACUGUCCUAACUCCCCAUCUGGAUGACUGCUGACCAUUCCCUCUGAUGCUGACAUCAGUAUUUUCUGUGAGAGAGAGUACUGUAGUGAAGAGACAGAAAAAGAAGAAGAUGGCACUGUUGUGAUUUUGUUGUAUGGCUUUGAAUCACCUACAAGUAUUGCUGCGACCGCAAAUUAAGUGUGCUGGUUUCCCAAUGAACUUGUAAUUUCAAGAUGUUUGUAGAAAUGUAAAAUCAAACGUGAACCGCAUUAAAGUCAUUUAAAUUUAACAAAAUAUAGCACUAGUCUUCUUUUAUUUUUAAUAUGGAGACCUACGUGGCUCACUUGCAGAAAGUGGGUUAUAUUUUAAAAGCUGUGGACUGGCAAGUUCUGACUUACUAAAGCAUAAAAUCAUUGUCCUCCUCCCUGUGGCAGUAGUUUCUUUAUUCAGACCCACUGCUUAAAGAUCUCUCCUGUUGUUUCCUUCUCUAUCUUCUCCUUUUUUACUUCCUUUUACUAGCUUGAGUUUCCUGUUCCUUUUUGCACCGAACUUUCCUAAGUCUCUUGGUCCAAAACCAGUCCCUUUUUCUCUCACGUAUACGUCCAUCAGCCUAAACUACUGCCUUAAGCAUGAUCACGUAUAUCUCUAAACAACGAGCAGAUGUGCUGUUUCAGGACUUCCAGUAGAUAAGAAACUUAACAACGCAGUGACAGCAUUUCGAGUAUUUUAUGCCACACAUGCCUCACAGGAUCAGAGUACCACACCAUUCGCAUCAAUGGCAUAAUAAUUAUGGACAGGCACGAACAUUCCCAUUAAAAUACAAAUUUAAGGUAUUGGUUCAGUAUAGGAUUGCUAACUUAAAAGGAGCAUCUGAAAGAAAGCAAACAUUCUGCAUUCAUAAUUGGCGUUGCAGGAGUAUUUAGAUUUUAUUUGCAGAUAGAUCAAAGAGGAAAUGCCAGCACAAAGAGUGCUCUGUAUAGACAGUAAUGUAAGCAGUUAGAGUGAAAAAAAGAAAGAAAGACAACUAGAAGAUGUACGUCCAUAAAAGUAGUGGGUCUUUUUUUAUAAAUCAUGCUUUGCUAUAGCAGAAAUCUGCAAUAAAAGUUAAUGCUUUCUGAGGGGUAGAUACCUACACAUGUUGUAAUCUUUACUAAAUGUUCUCUGCACAACCUGAACUCCCUGGAUUUGAGUUAGUACAGUGAAAGGAAAGCUAAGGACAUGAUAAAAUAGUGACAUUCUGGAAUUUUUCUGAUAUGUACAAUAUGGUUCUCUGGUUUCUGGUACUUACGAUAGCUUACAGUAACGGUAGUAACUCAUGACAAAAUGCAUGG
rnacentral:lncRNA from 1 species